rnacentral:rRNA from 1 species
CCUACGGGGGGCAGCAGUGAGGAAUAUUGGUCAAUGGGCGGGAGCCUGAACCAGCCAAGUCGCGUGAGGGAAGACGGUCCUAUGGAUUGUAAACCUCGUUAGGCGGGGAGCAAUGCCGGGCACGCGUGCCCGGAGGGAGAGUACCCGCAGAAUAAGCAUCGGCUAACUCCGUGCCAGCAGCCGCGGUAAUACGGAGGAUGCGAGCGUUAUCCGGAUUUAUUGGGUUUAAAGGGUGCGCAGGCGGCACGGCAAGCCGGCGGUCAAAUCGCGGGGCUCAACCCCGCCCAGCCGUCG